rnacentral:rRNA from 1 species
UCAAGCUACAAAGGGCGCAAGGAGAAUGCCUUGGCACUGGGAGCCGAUGAAAGACGUGGUAAGCUGCGAUAAGCUUCGGGGAGGAGCAAACAUCCUUUGAUCCGGAGAUUUCUGAAUGAGGAAACUCACCAGAGUUCAUACUCUGGUAUCCUGUACUGAAUCCAUAGGUACAGGAGGGGAACCGCCUGAACUGAAACAUCUAAGUAGGGCGAGGAAGAGACAUCAAACGAGAUUCCGUUAGUAGUGGCGAGCGAACGCGGAAGAGGGCAAACCGGAAGGAGAAAUCCUUCCGGGGUAUGGACCGCUUUUAGGACUUUAGCUGUUAAUCGAAUGGCAUGGGAAGGCCAACCAAAGAGUGUGAGAGUCACGUAGAUGAAAACGGCGAGAGCUGCGCGAGUUCCAGAGUACGGCCAGACACGUGAAACCUGGUCGGAAGAUGGGGGGACCACCCUCCAACCCUAAAUACUACCCAGUGACCGAUAGCGUAUAGUACUGUGAAGGAAAGGUGAAAAGGACCCCGGGAGGGGAGUGAAAUAGAACCUGAAACCUUGUGCCUACAAGCACAUAGAGCACAUCAACGUGUGAUAUGGUACUUUUUGUAGAACGGUCCGGCGAGCGAUUGUAUGUUGCGAGCUUAAGGUCUUAAGGACUGGAGGCGUAGCGAGAGCGAGUCUGAACAGGGCGUUCAGUAACAUGCAAUGGGCCCGAAACCGGGUGACCUACCCAUGAUCAGGCUGAAGUGAAAGUAAAAUUUCAUGGAGGGCCGAACCGACCUCCGUUGAAAAGGCGGCGGAUGAAUUGUGGGUAGCGGAGAAAUUCCAAUCGAACUCGGAGAUAGCUGGUUCUCCCCGAAAUAGCUUUAGGGCUAGCCUCAUAUUAGAUACCCGGAGGUAAAGCACUGAAUGGCCUAGCGCCCGAGAGGGUAGCGAAGCCUAUCAAACUAAGAAUGCCGGAGUAUUGAUGUAUGGGAGUCAGACAGUGUGAGAUAAAUCUCAUUGUCAAAAGGGAAACAGCCCAGAUCUACAGCUAAGGUCCCAAAUUGUAUCUAAGUGGAAAACGAUGUGGAAAUACGCAGACAACCAGGAUGUUGGCUCAGAAGCAGCCACUCAUUUAAAGAGUGCGUAAUAGCUCACUGGUCGAGCGUCUCUGCGCGGAAAAUUUAACGGGGCUAAGAUACAAACCGAAGCUUAGGCUGCACUUUUAGUGCGGGGUAGGGGAGCGUUGUGUAAGCGGAGAAACAGUAGCGUAAGCGGCUGUGGAGUUUACAGAAGUGAGAAUGCCGGAAUGAGUAGCGCGAAUGUGGUGAGAAUCCACAUGGCCGGAAACCUCAGGUUUUUGGAGGAAGGUUCGUCCGCUCCAAGUUAGGCGGGAGCUAAGGUCAGGCCGAAAGGCGUAGCCGAUGCACAGACGGUAGAGAUUCCGUCCCCACCGAAAGAUUUAAGCACAGGGACACUUUUUGAAGGUCGGAGCCAGGUGUUGGUUCUGGUAGUGAUCGAGGGAAAUAUAGUACCGAAGUCCGGCUGGAUAAGAGGCGAGAAAAGCUGUGUGUAUAUCUAAGGUGCCCGUACCGCAAACCGACACAGGUAGGUAGGAAGAAGAUUCUAAGGCCAACGGGAGAAGGGUUGUUAAGGAACUCGGCAAGUUGACCCCGUAACUUCGGAAUAAGGGGUGCUCACGAGAGUGAGCCGCAGAGAAUAGGCCCAGGCAACUGUUUACCAAAAACACAGGUUUGUGCUAAAUCGAAAGAUGACGUAUACGAGCUGACGCCUGCCCGGUGCUGGAAGGUUAAAAGGAGAUGUGCAAGCAUUGAAUUGAAGCCCCAGUGAACGGCGGCCGUAACUAUAACGGUCCUAAGGUAGCGAAAUUCCUUGUCAGGUAAG